AAUUAUCAACCUAAUGGUUGGACUUGGGAUUUGCUGGCUUUGAGUAGUCAGCUAUCCUUAAAUGUAUUAGUGAGUGAAGUCUUGACGUGCACGGCCUGUCUCCGGUGAUAAAUGAACCGUUGGUCCGGGCUGGAAGCGUCAUUAGGAAACUUGCUUUAAUUUAUUAGCAUGAAAGUGUUAUAUUUUGACA
rnacentral:misc_RNA from 1 species